rnacentral:rRNA from 1 species
ACGCACGCUGGCGGCGUGCUUAACACCUGCCAGUCGAACGAAGAGCGAUGGAAGCUUGCUUCUAUCAAUCUUAGUGGCGAACGGGUGAGUAACGCGUAAUCAACCUGCCCUUCAGAGGGGGACAACGGUUGGAAACGACUGCUAAUACCGCAUACGAUCUAAUCUCGGCAUCGAGGAUAGAUGAAAGGUGGCCUCUACAUGUAAGCUAUCACUGAAGGAGGGGAUUGCGUCUGAUUAGCUAGUUGGAGGGGUAACGGCCCACCAAGGCGAUGAUCAGUAGCCGGUCUGAGAGGAUGAACGGCCACAUUGGGACUGAGACACGGCCCAGACUCCUACGGGAGGCAGCAGUGGGGAAUCUUCCGCAAUGGACGAAAGUCUGACGGAGCAACGCCGCGUGAGCGAUGACGGCCUUCGGGUUGUAAAGCUCUGUUAAUCGGGACGAAAGGCCUUCUUGCGAAUAGGGAGAAGGAUUGACGGUACCGGAAUAGAAAGCCACGGCUAACUACGUG